GUUAUAGGGUCAAGCGAAUAAGUGCAUGUGGUGGAUGCCUUGGCGAUCACAGGCGAUGAAGGACGUAGUAGCUUGCGAAAAGCUGCGGGGAGCUGGCAAACGAGCUUUGAUCCGCAGAUGUCCGAAUGGGGAAACCCGGCCCGUAUGGGUCAUCCCUUGCUGAAUACAUAGGCAAGGGAGGCGAACGCAGUGAACUGAAACAUCUAAGUAGCUGCAGGAAAAGAAAUCAACCGAGAUUCCCAAAGUAGUGGCGAGCGAAAUGGGAACAGCCUUGUACUCUUUAGCAGUAUUGUUAGCGGAACGGAAUGGAAAGUCCGGCCAUAGUGGGUGAUAGCCCCGUACGCGAAAACAGUAUUGUGGAACUAGGUGUACGACAAGUAG
rnacentral:rRNA from 1 species